rnacentral:rRNA from 1 species
UCAUAGCAUAAAACUACGCCGACAAAUACGAACAACCGUUUAAACCUCAAAGACCUUGGCGGUGUCUUAUACAAUCAGGGGAACCUGUCCCUUAAUUCGAUAAUCCACGAAAAUCUUACCUUAACUCGAAUAGCAGCCCAUGUACUGCCGUUGUCAGCAUGCCUCUGAGAGCGCAUACCUAACAUAAUAUAUGUAUAUAACAUCAGGUCAAAGUAUAGCCAAUGUUAAGGGGGCGAUGGGUUACAACAUUAACAAAUCUACCAGAGGGCAAAUAAACUAUUUACCCAAAAGCUGAACUUGACAGUAAUAUCUUACAAUCAAUAGAUGUGAACAGGAAUCUAAGACAUGCACACAUCGCCCGUCACUCCACCCUAAAGGGG